GACGUAGGGCGCGAGCGUUGUCCGGAUUUAUUGGGCGUAAAGAGCUCGUAGGCGGCUUGUUGCGUCGACUGUGAAAACCUGCGGCUCAACCGUGUGGUCUGCAGUCGAUACGGGCAGGCUGGAGUUCGGUAGGGGAGACUGGAAUUCCUGGUGUAGCGGUGAAAUGCGCAGAUAUCAGGAGGAACACCGGUGGCGAAGGCGAGUCCCUGGACAACUCCUGACACUGAGGCACGAAAGCUAGGGGAGCAAACAGG
rnacentral:rRNA from 1 species